rnacentral:misc_RNA from 1 species
GGAUACUGACAAAUAGUUGGGGUUUAAGACAUAAGCACCAAAAAUUUUAUUCAUAUAUUCUGUGGCGUUAUCAGUUCAAGAUUUUUAUAGCUUCAAAUCAUCUGGAAGCAAGAGAAAACCUCACUUUUUGCCUUGACAAUCAGUAAAGAAUAUAGUCAGUACAGGAUACUGACAAAUAGUUGGGGGUUUAAGACAUAUUUCAUGAAAUGGAUAUUAAGCAGCAAAAGAAACUAAACUCUGGUUUGUCCGAAAUGAGCUUAGAAAGUCAUGAUCAUAUUCUCCAAAGAUGCCCUAGUUCUGAAAUUGUUGCUGAUUCCAACUGCAAUUGGGAGUAUAAAAUAUGUGAAUCUCCUAAUGUUGUUCAGCCAAAAGCAGUUAUAGAUCAACAUCCUCCGAAAGCAAGUGUUUGUGCUUUCUGUUAUUCUGCUAAGACCACAGAGAAAACUGGACCUUUUUUGUACUUUGCAAAUGGAAGGGAAGUUGUGGGUAAUGUUACUUCUCUUUCCAAAGUCAUAUGUGUGCACAGUAAGUGCAUUGAAUGGACACCUCAAGUAUAUUAUGAAGGAGAAAUUAUAAAAAAUUUGGACACCGAGUUGGCAAGAGCUACAAAACUCAAGUGUAGUAGUUGUGGCAUGAAGGGUGCAGCACUUGGCUGCUACAUGACGUCUUGCAGGAGGAGUUAUCAUGUGCCCUGUGCAUUUGAAAUCCAGGAUUGCCAAUGGGAUAUGGAGAACUUUGUGAUGCUGUGCCCAGUUCAUAAAUCUGUUAAAUUUCCAAGUGAGAAGUCAAAGUCUAUAGAACAUAUCAGGAGGGAAAUGCAUCCAAAGGCUUCUCCCCUAACCACCGAGCAAUUGACUUUUUGGGCAAGAUCAUCAGAUGGACCAAAAGAAUGGGUUCUUUGUGGGUCUGCUCUAUCCUCAGAAGAUAAGUAUAUGUUGGUGAAAUUUGCUGGUAUGUGUGGUGCAACUGUGUGCAAGUUCUGGAAACCAAAUGUCACACAU